UGAUCCCAGACUCAGAUUCGAACGCUGAGCGCGCAUGCACUUACACAGUGCAAGUCGCAGCGGCAGCGGAGGGUUGCUAUCUUUGGUGGCGAGUGGCGAACGGGUGAGGAAUACAUCGGAAUGUACCCGGUCGUGGGGGAUAACGUAGGGAAACUUACGCUAAUACCGCAUACGACCUACGGAUGAAAGCAGGGGAUCUCAGGACCUUGCGCGAUUGAAUCAGCCGAUGUCGGAUUAGGUAGUUGGUGGGGUAAAGGCUCACCAAGCCGACGAUCCGUAGCUGGUCUGAGAGGAUGACCAGCCACACUGGAACUGAGACACGGCCCAGACUCCUACGGGAGGCAGCAGUGGGGAAUAUUGGACAAUGGGCGCAAGCCUGAUCCAGCACAUACCGCGUGCAGUGAAGAAGGCCUUCGGGUUGUAAACCCCUUUUGUAGGGAAAGAAAUACCAUGCUCUGCUAAUACACGGGAGCUCAUGACGGUACCGUAA
rnacentral:rRNA from 1 species